ACCCCUUAGUCCAGGACUCCCUCACUCGUCAAGGAAGCGGCUCCCGGAUCUGAGAUCGUGCGGCCGUGACGGAAGGGGCUCGAGGUGGCCGCCGAAGACCAAGCCAUUCACGCAAGCCCUGGACACGAUCCUCCCGACGCAUGCACUCCUCGCGUCCUCGCGCCGCCGUUCUCUUUUUCUCUGCGAUCUCCUUGCCCUGCCUGAUGAUGCCGACUCCUCAGCGCCCGGGCACUGGCCGACGCCCGCGAGUCCUCGGUGCCCCACCGUUUCCGUCACAUCCGAGGCGCAUAGGGAGCAGAACUUGCGCCGCCACCACUUGACCCCCUCCCCGCCGCAACAUCAAUCGAGAUCCCAACAACUGCCUCGACAUCGACAAGAUCUGUUGCCAGCUUGCCGCAAGCUGCACCCUCCCCCCUCUCCCUUCACCAUCGUGAGUUCAGCAGGAGCAGCGUAAACUCGCUUGAAGGAGAAUGGGUCAGAAGGAGAGAGGAUGAAGCUGCUGGGAACGCAUGUGUGACCCCAAGAACAAGUACCGGAUGCUGCAAAUGAUGAGGUCGGCCAAGGGCGACUCUUGUGAGGACGCCUUCGAGAGCAUGUUCCAUUGCCCAGGAAAAUCUAAUGUGUGCUGAAAUCUCUCCACAUAUUGUGUUUUCUGAAGUCUGGUGGGUCGAGACGAAGGAACAAAACCCUUAAGAGCUCAAACUUGAGUUCCGAAAAGAUAUGUAGAAUUCAAAAUUGUGAUGACCACGUGGUGUUCGGAUAUCAUCCUUGCUCGAUUUGGGCAUCGGUGGUUUUUGCAGCUUCACAUCAAAGUCACCGGAGACAACGAUCCAAUGAAUAGAGCUACAUCGGGUUGGGUUGAGUGUGUGGUACAUUCACCCUGAUCUCAUGUUGUUUUAAUAUAUUUUCUCUUGAGAAAUUUUUUACCUUCAGUAUUUAGAGUACAUGUAUUUUUCCCUGAACUUUACAGUGACAUAUCACAAAUGAACUCCGUUCAUCUAUCUGCACAUUGUGGUCUGUAGUACUGUAUAUAGGUGAUUGGUUUACUUAGUAGGCGAGUAGAAAAUAUAUGAAUAUUGAUUCAAGAACUGUGGUUCAUUUAUACAAUUGAACUGUAACUUAGCAAUAUGAUCGAAAGAGUACAUGGAUAUUGAUUCGAGUGUGACAACUACUUAUCUAUUAAGUGUGUUGAUGGUCUUGGGUCAAGUUCAAUGUUCUUGGGAGUGUUUAUUCGAAAUAUUGCAGCUUGGUAAUCAGUUACUUUCAUGUCAGUUCUUCUCUAGCAUGCCAAUUGUAUGCCUCUAAUUCCAUGAUUGAAUCUUCCCUGAGCUACAAGAUUAAAUGAGUUUAGUACUAAAUUCUAGAUUGUCAUCUCGAUGUAUCUAUAUCUUCAGACGCUUGUGCAUCCUUACCAUGGAUUGAAUCAAGUUGAUUCAUAGCUCAUGCCAUGCUUCUAUGUACUACCAAAUGCCCUUUUGAUACAGAUCCAGCGAGGUGUCUUGGACUGAUGGCAUUUUGUUCUCAACAUGUGUGAGCAUUUCUGCUAUGGACCCUCUAUGUUUAAUUAAGUGAUAACAUUGUUUCUUUGAAGAAUGUAACUUGUGCCGUGUAUAGCUGUUAUUAGAGAGAACAACAUUUGUGUCUUUCAAAUAAAAGGUUUGUGCUACUUUUUUUGUGAGAGACGGCUUGUGUUACAAAUUUCAGGGCAUUCCAUUCCUUUUUUGGAUAAAGAGCUGCUUUUCUAUCGAGGCAGUGUAUCUCUUACUAUUCCCUCAGUUUCGAAAUACUUGUCGUGGCUUUAAUUCAAAUUUGAACUAAAACCAUGACAAGUAUUUUCAAACGGAGGGAGUAUAACUUAUGCAUAUUAUCAGUAUCCUUUAGUACGUUAUAUGAAAUGUUUCCCAAUAUGCCCAAGUGAAGGUGUAGUUUUUAUGAGAUAUUUCUUUAACACGAGCAAUGGUGCAGAUCAAAGAGUGCAUGCAUCGGGAGCAGGAAAAGGUGUGAUGUGAUACAGGAGCUCGAUCAAAAAUCACCUAAGAAAAAUAUGUCGUUCUUCUCUACAAGGGUUGCAUGUGGAAUUUGAGGAGAAUCUGUGCACCAGCAUCUGACUCCUUGAUGUUGCUCUGAUCAUAUUGUGUAAAUAUAUUUCUAAUAAAGCAAUCGCCCGAUGGUGUACAUGUUAGAAAUAACAAGAUGUAAUCAUCAAGUGUGAGAGAUGGCAACAUCAUGAUGGGAUGGUAUGUACUGUUGUGCUCAUCAAUAGGUUAGUCUUUCAUUCUCUUGCAGGCAGUAUGCUUUUUGUUAUGCAAACAAUUAGGAAAUAUAUAAUUUCUAUGUACGUCCAAAUAUAUAUAAGUGGUUGUUGUUAACACUGAAUUUGGAUUUGUCAACGGUCGCUGCAUUUGGUCUAUCCCGAGCCUCUGGCUCUGGAUCAUGUUCUUUUGAUAUCCGCCUGCCAUGAUAUGUUAUCUCUAGUUGUGGUUGUGGCUGGACUUCUGGUAUGUGUUACCUCUAUUUUUUUUCUCUGGACUAAUUAGGGCCUGCUUCUGUUUUCUCUAAUUGAUAUAAUGGUUGUGGCAUGCAACAGCCAAGCCAACAACAGAGCCAGGCUUAGGCCUGAUGACGACUUGACAAAUAUGGUCAAGAUGCUGAAGAUGAGGAAUCUGACGAAACUAAAGAAAUAGGGGGUACUCUUAGCUUUAGUUCCUUAUAUCAUUUUUGAUGUCCAUUGCUAUGUAUUUGUAUAAACUUGCUUCAGCCAUUAUUGUCAAUUGGCCGGCAAAAGGAUUGCAUAUCUCUAGCCAUCCAGAAUAAGCGGACGAGAUGAUGUGCAUUCAUUUGGUGGCACAAAAUCAAUUUCCUUUGCCAACUAAUAGUACAUACAUUAAGAAAAUUGCUACGGUUGGCAGCUCUUCACUUCAUGUUUUGAAAUGUUUCGUGCGCUUGUCCCAUUGAGUCACUUACAGAAGCAGGUACAACAUGCUAAGUAAGCAUCCAAUUAUUUACCCUAUGUUUUGUAUCAAUCCGAGAAAGACGAGGACGAUGGCUGGAAGGCAGGGCGUUGUUGGAUGGAAGGGAGAGUGAGAGAGACAUGAGGGGCAUGAGGUGUCAAGUUCAGUGGGGUUGUCAAGGAAGUUUGAGGGAGACAGGCCACCAUUGAGAUUUUUAUAUCCGCUGGCAUGCCCGCUUGCUUGCUGAUGUGCGCGUGUGGUUGUUGUUGCCGCGCAUGUGUGCGUGGUAUGCCCCUGCCGCUGUGUAUCACUGUGACGCUGUGUGCUUGCUGCUGUUGAUCAGCGUGUGUGUGCGGUUGUGCGGUUCCUGCCGCGUUGUCUGGUAAAACCGCCAUGCACUUCUUUUUCUUGUGCUGAACAAUUCAUGAUCACUAUACUACUGAACUCUUUCUUGAACAGAAGCCACGUGAACUUAGUUUGAGCUCUUAUGUUGUUAAAUGAAGCAUGAUUUUUAGUAAGCUAAACAAUAGUUCUGAUUUCCUCACUUAACAGAAAAUUUUCAGUUCUAUUUGUAUUGUUCCAAUCAGUUGUUUUUACACUGCUAUGUAAUUAGCACGCUUAUAUAUCAAGUGAUUAUAGCAUCUUGAUUAUUUCUGUCAUGACUUUCCUUUCUCAGAUUACUGAUCCAUGGUCUUCCUGUAGAUUUCAAUGCUGACUUGAAUCCUGUUUGGAGUUGAUGAAGAUAAUCCGCUGUGUUGUGAUGCAAUCACUAAUUAAUUUGAGAGAGAACAGUGUGGAAUCAGAAGUAACGAGAUGUGACCGUUAAGUUUGAGAGAUGGCAAGAGAAUGUGAUAUGUAGUCCUCUAUAUGCACCAAUAAUGCAUUCACUUUUCACGCUUCUAUGGUUGGUUCAUAUGUGGUUAUCGAAGCAGGAUAAGUUCUUGAGAAGGACUCUAAUUGCUAUGGACCACAUGAUUUCAUAUGUCGCUUCCUAUUGCGUAUUGCCGUUGACAUUGGACUUGCUAUCCUAGAGAAGUCAGUGCCAAAUCUACCUCAGAAUAUUGGGAUGUUAAUGAUUGGAGAACUAAAACAUGUCCAUGGAUUACCUUCAGUCCCACAUUCCAAUCAACAACAUUGGGCCGAGCGAGCGCGCGGGUGGCGCAAGAGGCAAUGGGCAGCCGGUGAAGACUGAGUGGUGAGCGGCGGUGGCGAGGUCGAGCGGUUGGCACCAGCAGCGAGUAGGCAAUUACCGUGACGGGCGAGCGGACGGGGCGAGUAGGUGUCCUGAUUGCAUCACAAUUGGAAUAAAGUAAACAAUGCAUACGUGUGCCCAUUGACUGAUUUUGUGUGUUGUGUGCUUGUGUUAACAGCCAGCCAAAUCAAUCAGCCAAGGGCCAUUAUGUACGUGAGUGUGUUAGCAGUGGGUAUAUCUGAAGAUUAUUUCUCAACUCGGCACGUGGGUAGAGACUAAAAAGACGAUGCCAUGGUAGCAUGGCAGACCUGGCAAGUGCCACGAACAUCAUAAUAUUCUUCCUUUUCUUAAUUCCAUGAUUUGAAAAA